UUGAAGCCUUGGUGACUGAGCGGCGGACGGGUGAGUAACGCGUGGGUAACCUGCCCUUUACUCGGGGAUAGCCUUUCGAAAGAAAGAUUAAUACCCGAUAGCAUAAUGAUUCCGCAUGGUUUCAUUAUUAAAGGAUUCCGGUAAAGGAUGGGGAUGCGUUCCAUUAGGUUGUUGGUGAGGUAACGGCCCACCAAGCCUUCGAUGGAUAGGGGUUCUGAGAGGAAGGUCCCCCACAUUGGAACUGAGACACGGUCCAA
rnacentral:rRNA from 1 species